GCAUUAAUGGGGUAGUGGUAACCUGGGUCGUUGCCAUGCAUACUCAAAGGCGUUUACUCGACCCGCCGGGGGUUCGAUUCCCUCUUAAUGCA